GCUCCGCUACAUACAAUAACAACAAACAAAACAAACAUUCUUUAAAAAUUUCUGGGGGUUGCAAGGAGAGGAAAAAUAAAAAAUAAAAAUAAAAUAAAAGGCACAAAAUCUUACCAGUCCUAAAAGGAAAGUGACUCAUUGGUGGUUUUAUACAAUUCCGCAUGGGAUUUAUUAUCUUUGGAUAAGUACUUUUUUUUUUUUCUUUUUUUUUUUUUAGUUUUUUACUGUAUUUUUAAUCAAAUAAAUGCAGCGAGCAGAACAGACUUCUUUAAAUCAAAACCACUUCAAAAUCUUACCAACCCCAAACUUUUGAACAGUACUGUAACCAUUUUUUUCUGCUUGAACCUGCAGGAAUCAAGAGACAUUUUGAUUCUAUCAUUAAAAAAGUCAAGGCGGGAAUCAGGAAGUCCAGUGCAGACCAUCAUAAUCUACAGGUGUUGAAAGGAUGUUCUGAAGCAUUCAUACCUCAAGAGACAUCGAGCCUAGUAGCCAUUAUGAGAGACCCCCUGCCAAGAUCAUAAUCAAAAAUGAAGUGACCCCAACUAAGCAAGCCAGAGGCGACAGCGGCAAGGAACCGAAACUCCAUCGGUGACAGAAUGGAGAAAAAAACCUUGGGAGAAACCAGCCUCAGUUGGGGGGCCAGUUCUCCUCUGACCAGACGAAACCAGUAGUUCAAUUCCAGACUGCAGCAAAGUCAGAUUGUGCAGAAGAAUCAUCUGUUUCCUGUGGUCUUGUCCUAGUGCUCCUCUGAGACAAGGUCUUUACAGGGGAUCUGUAUCUGGGGCUCUAGUUGUCCUGGUCUCUGCUGUCUUUCAGGGCAGUAGAGGUCCUUUCUAGGUGCUGAUCCACCAUCUGGUCUGGAUAUGUACUGGAUCCGGGUGACUGCAGUGACCCUCUGAUCUGGACACAGACUGGAUCUGGUGGCCACGGUGACCUCGGAACAAGAGAGAAACAGACAAAUAUUAGCGUAAAUGCCAUUCUUCUAAUGAUGUA